ACACCUCAACUCUCACGGUUCGCCGUGAUGAGCUUGGACUUUGGGGGUUUUGCUGGCCUCUGGUCGGCUCCUCUCAAAUGAAUCAGCCUUCCAGUGUUUGGUGGCGUCAUGGGUGUGAUAACUAUCUACGCUUGUGGCCGUCUGCUGGGUAACCUUCUGUGAUGGAGGUUUGCUGGAGCUUAUAAACGUCUCUCCUCAGCGAAGACAGCUUUUUGAAC
rnacentral:misc_RNA from 1 species